AGGCAGCAGUGGGGAAUUUUGGACAAUGGGCGCAAGCCUGAUCCAGCCAUUCCGCGUGAGUGAAGAAGGCCUUCGGGUUGUAAAGCUCUUUCGCAAGGGAAGAAACGAUAGUCGCGAAUAACGACUGUUAAUGACGGUACCUUGAUAAGAAGCACCGGCUAACUACGUGCCAGCAGCCGCGGUAAUACGUAGGGUGCGAGCGUUAAUCGGAAUUACUGGGCGUAAAGCGUGCGCAGGCGGUUUUGUAAGUCAGAUGUGAAAUCCCCGAGCUCAACUUGGGAACUGCGUUUGAAACUACAAGACUAGAAUAGGUCAGAGGGGGGUAGAAUUCCACGUGUAGCAGUGAAAUGCGUAGAGAUGUGGAGGAAUAUCAAUGGCGAAGGCAGCCCCCUGGGAUCAUAUUGACGCUCAUGCACGAAAGCGUGGGGAGCAAACAGGAUUAGAUACCCUGGUAGUCCACGCCCUAAACGAUGUCAACUAGUUGUUGGUAGAGUAAAAUCUAUGAGUAACGCAGCUAACGCGUGAAGUUGACCGCCUGGGGAGUACGAUCGCAAGAUUAAAACUCAAAUGAAUUGACGG
rnacentral:rRNA from 1 species